AUCCGGCUGACGAGUCCCAAACAGGACGAAACGCUCGUCCUGGAU
rnacentral:hammerhead_ribozyme from 1 species